UACGAAGGUCCCGAGCGUUAUUCGGAAUCACUGGGCGUAAAGGGAGCGUAGGUGGCCGGGUAAGUCUGACGUGAAAUCUCCAAGCUCAACUUGGAAACUGCGUCGGAUACUAUCCGGCUAGAGGAUCGGAGGGGAGACUGGAAUACUUGGUGUAGCAGUGAAAUGCGUAGAUAUCAAGUGGAACACCAGUGGCGAAGGCGAGUCUCUGGACGAUUCCUGACACUGAGGCACGAAAGCCAGGGGAGCAAACGGG
rnacentral:rRNA from 1 species